rnacentral:rRNA from 1 species
GACGAACGCUGGCGGCGUGCCUAAUACAUGCAAGUUGAGCGCUGAAGGUUGGUACUUGUACCAACUGGAUGAGCAGCAAACGGGUGAGUAACGCGUGGGGAAUCUGCCUUUGAGCGGGGGACAACAUUUGGAAACGAAUGCUAAUACCGCAUAAAAACUUUAAACACAAGUUUUAAGUUUGAAAGAUGCAAUUGCAUCACUCAAAGAUGAUCCCGCGUUGUAUUAGCUAGUUGGUGAGGUAAAGGCUCACCAAGGCGAUGAUACAUAGCCGACCUGAAAGGGUGAUCGGCCACAUUGGGACUGAGACACGGCCCAAACUCCUACGGAAGGCAGCAGUAGGGAAUCUUCGGCAAUGGACGAAAGUCUGACCGAGCAACGCCGCGUGAGUGAAGAAGGUUUUCGGAUCGUAAAACUCUGUUGGUAGAGAAGAACGUUGGUGAGAGUGGAAAGCUCAUCAAGUGACGGUAACUACCCAGAAAGGGACGGCUAACUACGUG